GUUGGUGAUGGACAGGGAGGCCUGGCGUGCUGCGAUUCAUGGGGUCGCAAAGAGUCGGACAUGACUGAGUGUCUGAACUGAACUGAACUGAUGGUAGAAUAUAUUGAUUGAUUUUCAAAUACUGACUAGCCUUGCAUAUUUGGAAUAAUCCCAGUUGGUCACUUUGUAUCGUUCUUUCUAUACACUAUUUGAUUUAAUUUACUAAUAUUUUCUGAGGAUUUUGUGUCUAGGUUCAUUAUUUAUAUUGAUCGAUAGUCUUAUAUCACUGUCUUUGUCUAGUUUUGGUUUCAAGAUAGUACUGACAUCAGAAAAUGAGUUGGAAGUGUUUCUUCCUUUUUCAUUAUCUGGAAGAGAUUAUAUAAGAUUAGUUUUAAACUUUUCUCUUGUAAUUUUCUUUGAUCUGAAGUCUACAUUAUUAGCUAUUAAUAGAGUUAUUACUCCUUAUUUUUUAAAAAAAUAAUGUUUAUAUAUUUAUUUCCGUAUUUUUUGCUUUCAACAUGCCUGUGUCAUUACAUAAGAAGAGAGAUUGUUUUGGUAAAAGCAAUGUACAUUUGGAGCAUGUUUAUUUUUCCAGUCUGUUAAUCUGUAUCUUUUGAUUAGUGUAUUUGGACAAUUUGCAUUUAAGGUGGUUUCCCGGUAUGUUAGUGCUUAAAAGGACUGUUUUAUUAUUUGUUUUCUCCAGCUCUUGAUCCUGUAUUUCUUUGCAUUUUUCCUGGUACAUUAGCACUAUUUUAGGAUUCCCAAAGUGAUUUAUCAUUAUUUUAGUGUGUGUCUAAAGGUUUUGUAGUGGCUGCUCUGGGUACCCAGAUAUACAUAUGUGACUUGUAACACUUAACUGGUAUCAAUAUUUUACUGUUUUCAGGAGUGAAAACUUCACAUCCAUUUAGUUGCUUUUUCCUUCCUUGCUUUUAAAUAAUUUGCUCUUAUGAAUUAGAACGUGUUAUGAUUUCUGGUUUAUCAUUGAAUGUAACUGAUAAAACUUGAGAGCAGGAUAGUCUGUUGUGUGUGCCCAUUUCUAAUCUUUCUGUUGCUCCUACUUCCUUCCCAGUUCUUCCUUCUAUCAUUCCCUGUCUGCUUGAAGGAGCUUGUUUAGUAGAUCUGUAAGGGUAGGCCUGUUGUUCAGUUGCUAAGUCAGGUCUGACUGUUUUCGACCCCCUGGACUACUAUUAACUGAUUCAUGAAUGUUUCCCUUUCUGCGAAGUUUGUUUGAACUUGGUACCGUGCUUGCCUGUUUAGCAUCCAGGCUUUUUUCAUAGAGGCAAAAACAUGCUUCUGGGUGGGUGCCUUUACUUUCAUAUUACAGCUCUGUUUUAAUUUAAUGGCCCGACACCCCGGGGCUAUGAUGGUUGUGUUACCUGCACUUCCCAACAAUGUCGAUGUUCAGAGAAGAUUAACUGGAAAUUUGCUGUGAGUUUCAAUCUAUUGUUUCAAAAGAAAUUCAUGUUUACAGCAAAUUGCUUUUAAAAAGUCACUGAUGAAAUUCCUAUUUGCCAUUCAGGGAAAGACCUGAAGAAAAAUUAGUGCAUUGUGUUAAGAAUUACCUUUUGCGGUGUCUACUGAACAGCUGUUAGGAUAGAAUUCAUUUUGCCUCCCCAGUUUUUACUUUAGUAUUAAUUUUCAGUUAUACAAGAGUCUUGAAGCAGAUGAUGCUUUUGGUUAAGCAAUUCAUGGGUCAGUGACCUGUUAAGUAAUUUGUCUCUGAAUCUUCAGUUACUUCAGUAACAUUUCUGCCAAUUCUGAGAAGGCUAUUUAAACCAGUUAGUUUUUCUCUGAACUAUCAGACUUAAAAUUGCAGUAAAUGAAUGUUGCUUUUUACUCAUAUGAAUGGAACCUGCCUUAAAACCCUCAACUGGUAUCCACAAUGUGAUGACCUACGCGCGUGCACAGGACUCCAGACAGUGUCUCUAUAAAUGUGUUUUAUUUUAAAAAAGCUGGAGACUUUUUCACUUAUGCAGUUGUUUCCAUGUUGUUACUGAAAGAAAAUUCAGAGUAAGGCAUUUCUUGAAAAACUAAUGCUGGAACUGUAUUAGUGAUCUAGAUAACUUCCCAAAUAACUCAAAAUGUUUUACAAUAUUUCUUUACCUGACUUUUUUUCCCACUAGAAAAAUCAAGGCCAUUGAUCCUACAGAGAGACACCUCAGAGAUCUCAUGGGUUUGGUUCUAGGCGUCCCAAUGAAGCAAAUACCACGAUACAAUGAGGCACCCACGUGUUUCGGUUUCCCAGUGAAUAUAAAAGUUGUUUAUUCUAUAUUGUAGUCUAUUAAGUGUGCAACACUAGUACAUCUGAAAGAACAAUGUGUGUAGCUUAAUUUAAACAUACCUUCUUGGUAAAAAAUGCUCACCAUGAGCUGACAAUACAGAGUGGCUGUAAAUCUUCAAUUUGGAAAAAACAUAGCAUCUUCCUUCGAGGCACAAAGAAAGUGCACUCGUGGUUCUUUCGUCCAGGUGGGACACGCCCAUAACCUGGACAUUCCAUCCCGGUGGUGCGGACACACCGCGGUGAAUUUCAGAGACACAGGAGAACCAGGAAAAGCGAUUUAGGGCUGGCUGUCUAAUGGUACUGCACGGUGGCUGCUGUGAGAGGCUUAGUCGGCCAGACAAGAGGCCUGAGGUCAGAUUAGAGAUGGAAGACAUGUGUAUUAACUUGGCCUUGAGGCCCCAGACAAUGAGGAAGAGGUCCCAUGGGUCAAUUUCUGGGUGUAUCUCUGUCAAAAGAUAUUUUUCAUGAAAAGGUGAAAGCAAGAUUCUCGUAGUGAUGUAAACAUCAACCCGAGUUGAAGAUUUUGUCUUACUCUUUAACCACUGAGGGAACCAGGCAGGUGUUAAAAAUGGUCCAAAGGAAAGGUGAAAAGCACAAGUUUAUUUGGAGUAAGUUUGUGUAGGCAAAACUGAUUUUUCUGCAGGAACAGUGAACUCUACUGAAAUUCCACAGGACAGCUGCAGUUUGCAUACCCACCCUUCUCCGCAGUUUAUGAAGAGAUGUAAAAUAGCUGGCUGACAGCAAGCCAGGUGAAAAGUCAGGCUGUUUGGAGGGGUGUGCUGUGGACUUGCAGCGUUGUCAUCAAAGAACAUUUUUUCCUCUCGUGUCUGGGUUCAUUCUGCUGGUCUACACUCAACCUGCCCCCCGCCCCCGCUCUGCCCUGCCAAAAAAAAAGUGAAUUGAACCAGAGAAGGGAGCACAAGACAAUCCUUCUGCUCCCUGGGAACAAACCAAAUGAGUGAAUAUACAUAUUACAUUGGAAUGUGAGUUACAGUGGAGUGGGCAUUCCGUUCUCAGUUAUGCCAUUUUAUUGCUCUGCCAGCGAGACUCUUUCAAGCCCAGUGAGUGACUGAAUGAAUCCUGCCUGGUGCAGGAAGAUAGAAUCCGCCAAUCAGAAAGUAACAAAGAAGUAGAUAAAAGAAAGUGAGGGACUGAACUGAAAAGACAGUAACAGAAGUAGAUAAGAGUCACAACGUCACAUCCUGCAGAAGAAGAGUAUGGACCACAGUAUCUUUUCACUCGCCUUCUGAUUGCAGAGUCUUCCUCCCUCCUCUCAGAACAGUGUCCCGCUGGCCCCUGUGGACGGUGGGGGAGGUGGACGCCCGCAGUGGAGGAAGGGACUUCACACCCUGGCUUUGCUGCCAACAAGCCACGAGUCUGGGCAACUGGCGGCUCGCUAAAGGCAGGUCAGACCGGUCAUCUCUGAAAGGGGGCGUGUUCUGCCCCUCUGGUGAGGAUUCAGAAUGUCUUUCCUAAGCACCAGUGAAAACUAAACAAGGCCACAGAUGUAAAGCUUGGACAUGAGAUGCCCGGUAGAUGAUGUCAGGGCCUCCUGGUUGGUGGUGUUACUGGUGACUCAGCGGCUUCCCACAGGGCCUGCGGCCGGGAGGAGAGAGGAUGCUCAUCCCACCCCUCCCACGGGUGCCCCGCUGUACCUGAGCAGGGGACGGGGAAGGGCCCUUGGGGGUCUGUUUGGGACCAUUUACUGGAGGAAGAUGUGGCCCGCCUGUUGGUGACCGAAGCCUUGUAAACACUCCUGCAGCCCGGGAGAUGGGGGAACGUGUGACUCCUGGAGCCUCCCUGUUGUCACGAUGAGAUGACGUGUCGGUUUCAUUUCAGACUCUUCUGAAGGAGACUGAGCCGAACAUUCAGGGCCUGCAGGCUGGUGGAAAGGCAUGAUUUGUUUCCUUAGGAAUUCCUUCUAUAGUACUUGGAGCUUUGUGGAUAAAGCACCAGUCAGAGCCGCCCUGUGGAAAUGGAGUGAAGAGUUGAAAUGUGAUUCCCAACCUGGAGUGGAUGCUCUUUUCACGCUCAGCUAGGUCUCUAACUCCUGAAAUAUUAAUCUGUAAGAGCUGCUGGCAAACCAAUCAUUGGCACAAUUAACAAGCUCCUGGUUGGUCACAUAGCCUUGAGGAAGGGAGGUCCCAGGGGUGGGGGUCAGCUGAGCCACUGGGAAGGUGGCCUCCCCCAGGCCUUGGUCCCACUCUGCCUGGUCUCCAGGAUCAACCCGAGUAUGUUUGCUAAGAUUUCUGAAAGUUGCUCCAGCCGCGAUCACACGUCACGUGUCAGCUCACAUCCGGGCACUCUCUACUCUCUGAGCACAGAACUUCGAGGCUCAGCCUGGUCUCACCAUCCACCCCCUGCGCCUUUCUUCUUUGCAUACAUGUGUCCUUUAUACUCCCUGCUUCUUAUGCACUGGUUUCCAUUUAGGACAUAGGACAAGUACCAUCCAGGGACGUGAAAAAUCCAGCCUGAGGCCCCAAACAGAGUGGGUCCUGCUCUCUGGGCAGAUCCAGAGCCCCUGGAGAUGAAAACCUCGUAAGCCAACUGUGGACUCGGUGCUUUGCUGCAAGAGGAUUCAUUUGAGCUAUAAUAAAAAGUAGUGUGUUUAUUUAA